GCGCCCGUAGCUCAAUCGGAUAGAGCUUCGGAUUUCUAAUCCGAGGGUUGCAGGUUCGAGUCCUGCCGGGCGCGCCA
rnacentral:tRNA from 1 species